rnacentral:rRNA from 1 species
UACGGGGGGGGCAAGCGUUGUUCGGAAUUACUGGGCGUAAAGGGCUUGUAGGCGGCUCUGUCAGUCGGAUGUGAAAUCCCCAGGCUUAACCUGGGAACGGCAUCCGAUACUGGAGGGCUUGAAUUCGGGAGAGGGAUGCAGAAUUCCAGGUGUAGCGGUGAAAUGCGUAGAUAUCUGGAGGAAUACCGGUGGCGAAGGCGGCAUCCUGGACCGAGAUUGACGCUGAGGAGCGAAAGCUAGGGGAGCAAACGGG